GAUGAACGCUGGCGGCGUGCCUAAUACAUGCAAGUCGAGCGAACAGACGAGGAGCUUGUUCCUCUGACGUUUGCGGCGGACGGGUGAGUAACACGUGGAUAACCUACCUAUAAGACUGGGAUAACUUCGGGAAACCGGAGCUAAUACCGGAUAAUCUAUUGAACCGCAUGGUUCAAUAGUGAAAGACGGUUUUGCUGUUACUUAUAGAUGGAUCCGCGCCGCAUUAGCUAGUUGGUAAGGUAACGGAUUACCAAGGCAACGAUGAGUAGCCGACCUGAGAGGGUGAUCGGCCACACUGGAACUGAGACACGGUCCAGACUCCUACGGGAGGCAGCAGUAGGGAAUCUUCCGCAAUGGGCGAAAGCCUGACGGAGCAACGCCGCGUGAGUGAUGAAGGUCUUCGGAUCGUAAAACUCUGUUAUUAGGGAAGAACAAAUGUGUAAGUAACUAUGCACGUCUUGACGGUACCUAAUCAGAAAGCCACGGCUAACUACGUG
rnacentral:rRNA from 1 species